AGUCCCGGUAGUAUAGGGCCAGCUGACCUAAGGAAAAUUUGUGUAGUUGAAGAUGACGUCAUUUAGAGGAUUAGUUUGAUACAGGUGAUGUGAGUAGAAGAGAAGGUGACA